AUUGAACGCUGGCGGCAGGCCUAACACAUGCAAGUCGAACGAGUGGCGGACGGGUGAGUAAUGUCUGGGAAACUGCCUGAUGGAGGGGGAUAACUACUGGAAACGGUAGCUAAUACCGCAUACCAUCAGAUGUGCCCAGAUGGGUUUAGCUAGUUGGGGGGGUAACGGCUCACCAAGGCGACGAUCCCUAGCUGGUCUGAGAGGAUGACCAGCCCACAUGGAACCGAGAACCGGGCCAGACUCCGUCGGGAGGCCGGAAUGGGGGAUUAUGGAAAAUGGGGGGCAGGCUGGUUCAGCCAAGCCGCGUGUAUGGAGAAAGCCUUCGGGUUUUAAAGUACUUUCAGCGGGGGGGCGUUGCCCGCAGAAGAAGCACCGGCUAACUCCGUGCCAACCGCCGCGGUAAUAC
rnacentral:rRNA from 1 species